GACGAACGCUGGCGGCGUGCCUAAUACAUGCAAGUUGAACGAUGAAGCUUGGUGCUUGCACCAAUUUGAAGAGCAGCGAACGGGUGAGUAACGCGUGGGGAAUCUGCCUUUGAGCGGGGGACAACAUUUGGAAACGAAUGCUAAUACCGCAUAACAACUUUAAACAUAAGUUUUAAGUUUGAAAGAUGCAAUUGCAUCACUCAAAGAUGAUCCCGCGUUGUAUUAGCUAGUUGGUGAGGUAAAGGCUCACCAAGGCGAUGAUACAUAGCCGACCUGAGAGGGUGAUCGGCCACAUUGGGACUGGGACACGGCCCAAACUCCUACGGGAGGCAGCAGUAGGGAAUCUUCGGCAAUGGACGAAAGUCUGACCGAGCAACGCCGCGUGAGUGAAGAAGGUUUUCGGAUCGUAAAACUCUGUUGGUAGAGAAGAACGUUGGUGAGAGUGGAAAGCUCAUCAAGUGACGGUAACUACCCAGAAAGGGACGGCUAACUACGUG
rnacentral:rRNA from 1 species